GAUGAAGUACGUAGUGAAAUGCGAUACGUAAUGUGAAUUGCAGAAUUCAGUGAAUCAUCGAGUCUUUGAACGCACAUUGCGCCCCCUGGUAUUCCGGGGGGCAUGCCUGUCCGAGCGUCAUUGCUGCCCUCAAGCACGGCUUGUGUGUUGGGCCUCCGUCCUCCUCCCGGGGGACGGGCCCGAAAGGCAGCGGCGGCACCGCGUCCGGUCCUCGAGCGUAUGGGGCUUCGUCACCCGCUCUUGUAGGCCCGGCCGGCGCUUGCCGACACAUCAAUCUUUUUUCCAGGUUGACCUCGGAUCAGGUAGGGAUACCCGCUGAACUUAAGCAUAUCAAUAAGCGGAGGA
rnacentral:misc_RNA from 1 species